CGUAGGGUGCGAGCGUUGUCCGGAAUUAUUGGGCGUAAAGAGCUCGUAGGCGGUUUGUUGCGUCUAUCGUGAAAACCUGCGGCUUAACUGCGGGCUUGCGGUGGAUACGGGCAGACUUGAGUUCGGUAGGGGAGACUGGAAUUCCUGGUGUAGCGGUGAAAUGCGCAGAUAUCAGGAGGAACACCGGUGGCGAAGGCGGGUCUCUGGGCCGAAACUGACGCUGAGGAGCGAAAGCGUGGGGAGCGAACAGGAUUAGAUACCCUGGUAGUCCACGCUGUAAACGUUGGGCGCUAGGUGUGGGGAGCAUUCCACGUUCUCCGUGCCGUAGCUAACGCAUUAAGCGCCCCGCCUGGGGAGUACGGCCGCAAGGCUA
rnacentral:rRNA from 1 species